rnacentral:lncRNA from 1 species
AGGCGCCGAGAACGAGCGAGGGCUGUGAGGACUGCCAGCACGCUGUCACCUCUCAAUCCCAUCCUCAACAAAUGUAAGUGACAUAAACUGGCAUGUUCUGAAAGAAUCACUCUGGAUGCUGUGUGGAGAAAACACUGAAAAGAAUUCUAGAGUGAAAGUUUCAUGAAUAUAAGAAGCAAGACAAGGAAGUGGCUUAUGCUUAAGGCCUUAAAGGCAACCACUGUGACAAUCCAGCCAUUCUCUGGAGAAUUCAGCAGAAAGCCAGUUGGAGCACCUGUUGUUUCCUGACUUUUUAAUGAUCGCCAUUCUAACUGGUGUGAGAUGAUAUCUCAUUGUGGUUUUGAUUUGCAUUUCUCUGAUGGCCAGUGAUGAUGAGCAUUUUUUCAUGUGUCUGUUGGCUGCAUAAAUGAAUAGACUAAGAUUUCAGUGAUUGAGUCUCAUGGCAUGUGAUAAAGAGUUAGUGAUAAAGAUUUAAAUGGCACAUAACAUCAUCCCAAUUGAAUGCAUCGGGGGGUCAUGAUGCUGUGUGGGUUUGAAAUGGAAAUUACAAGCGCAAUAUUACAGAAGUGUGGAUUUUAGUUACAAUGUCUCUAUGAGAAAGUCUAAAAGUUAAACAUAAGCAAAACAACAAAAACAUCUAAAUACCAGACACUAUCCUCAGAAAUUAGAUUUGAAAAAUGAGCUUCAUUUUCGAAGAACAUAUGGAAUUUGUUAUCUCGAUUAUGGAGGGCGACAAGUCCCACAGUCUGCCAUCUGCAGGAUGGAGAACCAGGGGGAGAAUAAUUGACUCCAUUCAAGUGUUCGCUCCUGUUUCAAUCAACUAUGGCUGAAGAGUGAGGAGACAUUUGGAAUAAAUAUGGCUUCUGGGGGCCCAUUCCUAUGGAUCAGCAGCUGGCUUCUGGAGGCCCAUUCCUGUGAAUCGUCGAUCUCAUAGAAGAUAAUAUUGUUAGAAGGCUUACCUCAUUGAUGCUGAACAUCCUAAAAAGCUUCUGCUGCUUUGAGUCACUGAAAAAGACCAAGAAACAUGAAUUUAAAAAAAAAUUUCAAAUGUUAUAAAAUAAAUAAUAUGAACUCA